AGUCGAACGCGAAAGUCUCCUUCGGGGGGCAAGUAGAGUGGCGCACGGGUGAGUAACACGUAGGUAAUCUACCUUUGGAUGGGGAAUAACAACCGGAAACGGUUGCUAAUACCGCAUAAUGCAGCGGCACCUAAUGGUGACAGUUGUUAAAGCGGGGGAUCGAAAGACCUCGCGUCUGAAGAGGAGCCCGCGGCGGAUUAGCUAGUUGGUAGGGUAACGGCCUACCAAGGCUACGAUCCGUAGCCGGCCUGAGAGGGCGGUCGGCCACACUGACACUGACAUACGGGUCAGACUCCUACGGGAGGCAGCAGUCGGGAAUUUUGGGCAAUGGGCGAAAGCCUGACCCAGCAACGCCGCGUGAAGGAUGAAAUCCCUCGGGAUGUAAACUUCGCAAGAACGGGAAGAAUAAGUAGGGGACAAUACCCCCUAUGAUGACGGUACCGUUUGUAAGCUCCGGCUAACUCCGUGCCAGCAGCCGCGGUAAUACGGGGGGAGCAAGCGUUGUUCGGAUUUACUGGGCGUAAAGGGCGCGUAGGCGGCCAGUGCAAGUCAGUUGUGAAAUCUCCGAGCUUAACUCGGAAAGGUCAACUGAUACUGCUCGGCUAGAGUGCGGAAGGGGCAACUGGAAUUCUUGGUGUAGCGGUGAAAUGCGUAGAUAUCAAGAGGAACACCUGCGGCGAAGGCGGGUUGCUGGGCCGACACUGACGCUGAGGCGCGAAAGCUAGGGGAGCGAACGGGAUUAGAUACCCCGGUAGUCCUAGCCUUAAACGAUGAAUGCUUGGUGUCUGGGGUUAUAUAGUCCCCGGGUGCCGUCGCUAAC
rnacentral:rRNA from 1 species